rnacentral:rRNA from 1 species
AAGCAUUUGGAGCUCUACUUCUAUGAUGAUGAUCCCAGUUUACAACAUAGGUUUCGGCGCUCCCCAAACCUAGACCGAGAUGUCAUUCGUAAGCUUGUCGACAUCCUCAAGGAUAAUCCUUAUUCUGAGACAUUCAGGAAUCUAGGUGGAGUCGAUGACCUUGAGGAAUACCGUAUUGAACUAAACACCGACAUGAGGUUGGACCAACAGAGAUAUAACUUGCCUAUAUCAUUGGAGGUUGCGGCUAUUUUGGUUGAGGGUAAUGAACUAUGUAAGCACUUUGAUCAUAGCAUAGUACUGUUUGGUAACGACAACAAGAGAUAUAGCAUCCAGCCAUAUUAUGGAUGCUAUGAUCCAUUGUCUUACCCUUUAUUCUUUCCAAGAGGGGAGAUUGGUUGGCAUCCCGAAAUCCCAAAGAAUGGCGUCAACUUGAAUGAUAUACUUCAAUCUCGUCGCAGUGGUCGACAUAGUCUAGGUACAUAUACAAAUAGUCGAUUAUGCGUAUCUGUUAGAGACUACUAUUGCUACAAGUUUCAAAUACGUCGUGGUGUAUUUAACACCAUGCUAUACGGUAAACGACUGUUCCAACAGUAUGUGGUUGAUAUGUACAUCAAGGUUGAAAGCUCAAGAUUGGACUAUAUCAGAAAUCACCAGAAACAAAUACGUGCUGAUCUAUACCAAGGUGUUGUUGAUAGCCUUCAAGCUGGGGAAAACCGUGUGGAUGCAGUGGGCAAAUGGACUAUACUUCCUACAUCAUUUAUUGGGGGAAAAAGAGAUAGGAGACGAAGGUAUCUUGAUGCCAUGGCCUUGGUGCAAAAGUAUGGGAAACCAGAUAUAUUUUUAACCAUAACUUGCAAUCCAAAUUGGGAUGAGAUAAUUAGUGAGCUAGAGCCUGGACAAACCCCACAGGAUCGCCCUGAUCUUAUCGUACGAGUAUUUCGAGCAAAGUUGGAAGACCUCAAGAUACAACUUUUUAAGAAGCACAUGCUCGGUAAGGUAGCAGCAUAUGUGUAUGUCGUUGAGUUUCAGAAAGGA